AUUCCAGCUCUGUAAGCGUAUACCAAAGUUGUUGCAGUUAAAACGCUCGUAGUCGAACCUUGGCGGUUGUUUCACGUCAUCCUCACGGACGGCUGUGAUUCGGCCGCCUUUGUGGAGGGGGGUGUAGUGGUUCUUUACUGAGUUACUGCAUUUCCGCCACCGUCUACUGUGAAAAAAUUAGAGUGUUCAAAGCAGGCAAUUGCCGUGAAUACAUUAGCAUGGAAUAAUAGAAUAGGACUCGUCUUCUAUUUUGUUGGUUUGUUAGAAACGGGUAAUGAUUAAGAGGGAUGGUUGGGGGCAUUUGUAUUCCAGCGCUAGAGGUGAAAUUCUUGGAUUGUUGGAAGACAAACUGCUGCGAAAGCGUCUGCCAAGGACAUUUUCAUUA
rnacentral:rRNA from 1 species